CACGGGGGGAGCAAGCGUUGUUCGGAAUCACUGGGCGUAAAGGGCGUGUAGGCGGUUGGGUAAGUGGAAUGUGAAAUGCCCCGGCUCACCCGGGGACCGGCAUUCCAAACUGCUCAGCUCGAGUAUGGGAGAGGAUGAGGGAAUUCCUGGUGUAGCGGUGAAAUGCGUAGAUAUCAGGAGGAACACCGGUGGCGAAAGCGCUCAUCUGGCCCAAUACUGACGCUGAGGCGCGAAAGCUAGGGGAGCAAACGGG
rnacentral:rRNA from 1 species